rnacentral:rRNA from 1 species
UUUUGGACAAUGGGGGCAACCCUGAUCCAGCCAUCCCGCGUGUGCGAUGAAGGCCUUCGGGUGGUAAAGCACUUUUCGCAGGGAAGACAAGGCUCAGGCUAAUACCUGGAGCUUCUGACGUUACCUGCAGAAUAAGCACCGGCUAACUACGUUCGCGCAGCCGCGGAAAUACGUAGGGUGCAAGCGUUAAUCGGAAUUACUGGGCGUAAAGCGUGCGCAGGCGGUUCGGCAAGAAGGAGGUGAAAUCCCAGGGCUUACCCUUGGAACUGCAUUCUUAACUGCCGGGCUAGAGUAUGUCAGAGGGGGGUAGAAUUCCGCGUGUAGCAGUGAAAUGCGUAGAGAUGCGGAGGAAUACCGAUGGCGAAGGCAGCCCCCUGGGAUAAUACUGACGCUCAUGCACGAAAGCGUGGGGAGCAAAC